rnacentral:rRNA from 1 species
UACGUAGGGUGCAAGCGUUAAUCGGAAUUACUGGGCGUAAAGCGUGCGCAGGCGGUGAUGUAAGACAGAUGUGAAAUCCCCGGGCUCAACCUGGGAACUGCAUUUGUGACUGCAUCGCUGGAGUACGGCAGAGGGGGAUGGAAUUCCGCGUGUAGCAGUGAAAUGCGUAGAUAUGCGGAGGAACACCGAUGGCGAAGGCAAUCCCCUGGGCCUGUACUGACGCUUAUGCACGAAAGCGUGGGGAGCAAACAGG